CCUUCAUCCCCUCCCUUUUUCACCAUCCCUCUCCCCAGCAACAGCUACCAAGUCUUUUGUAGAGGAGGUGAAGGUAGCUGUGGCGGCGGGGGUUACGGAGGCAGAGGUGGCUGUAAACCUAACCAUAUCUACUUCAUAUCCAACCGGUGUUGCAGGGAAUGAUUUUUUUGUGGACGACCUUUUUGACUUUUCUAACGAGGAUGUUGGAAGAGGGCCUUUUGAGGAAGUAGAAAAAGAAGAAGAGAAGGAUUUCAAGAACAAGGGGAAAAUGAUAACUGCAACUCUGUCGCUUUUUCUGUGAAAGACGAUUUUGGGUCUGUUCCCAGCAGUGAACUCAGCGUUCCGACAGAUGUUUGGCGAGCCUCGAAUGGUUAUCUCGUUUCGUGGAGGAGCACAUCCACGAUAACUUGGCUGAAAGAGGCAAACCCAUCUGCUGCUCCUGGUCUUUGCUCUUCUUAAGCAGAGGCUCCGGCGAAGACGAAGCUGAUGACCCCCAAGCUUCCCUUCCGAAUUGGAAUCUCUCCACCAGCCAUUGCACAUGGACCGGUGUCUCCUGCAACUCCUUCAAUCGAGUUGUUUCUCUUGAUCUCUCCAACAUGAACCUCUUCGGCAUUUUGUCACCCGACGCCAGCCAGUUUCGCAACCUCAUCAACCUAAUCGCCGCUGCUAAUUUCUUCUCUAGAUCCAUCCCUUGGGAGAUCUCUCGUAGGGGAGGCGAGAUCGUUGGGUACCGAAAGCAAUUCUAGAUUCCUCGAAUCGCACAUCGUCGUUUUUUGUUUCUGCAGACAACAACCAUACCACACUUGCUGAGACCCAUCGUAUGUGGCAAAAAAGAAUUUCGAACUGUUCCCUCAAUUGAAUAUUUCUCACAAGAAAAAUAGGACUCCGAGGAGGAAACAAUCAGAAGAUGUUGUUAAUGAGAGAAAAUAAUCUCUCCAACGGACAAAACCCAAGGUGAGACGCUGAACGGGUACCAUGCAAGGUGAGAAGCAAAUGUGCGAGAACCGGUGGAAGGGUUUGGUCCCUCAGGUCUCCUUUGCUCAGGGAGUCUUCUUCUUCGCCGUCGUCAUCAUCUUCUUCCUCUUCGUCGUCCUCUUCGACGUCAUGUCUCAUUUUGACCAACAGCGGCCAAAACCUGGAAUUGUUCAACCAUUCCGCAAAGCCGCCGGUGAAGAAGCAAAAGAAGAAGCCGGUUACAGAGACAAGUGGGCCCCAACUGCCUCGCAGGUGCAUCCAUUGUCAUGUUCAGAAGAUCCCAGAGUGGAGAACCGGUCUGCUGGGGGCCAAGACCCUAUGUAGCGCUUGUGGUGCUCGUUAUAAGUCCAGUCGGCUCUUGCCAGAGUAUAGACCGGCUUGUAGCCCUACGUUCUCAAGCGACGUUCAUUCCAACAACCACCGCAAGGUUCCGGAGAUGUGACGGAAGAAAGAGAAUAAGAGGAGGGGACGAAAUUUUUAAAAUAGUGGAGGGUAAAUUUGAUAUUUCAUUUCUUUUCGUCAGUAUAUAUGACCAUCGUUAAAAAAACUUAAGAGUACCACAAACACAAAACAAUAGCUAAACAAUAAAGGUGCCCCAUGUCAUUACACUAAAAGUUGGGAUAAUUUAAGAGAUUUAAACCAAAAAAAAGAACAAUUUCCAUGGGAUGACAAAAACCAAGUAAUCAUAAUCCAUAACCAAAUUUCCCAUCAAUUACUCCAACCACCCGACAAUGAGUAAGCUUUGGUGAAAAAUGUAUGAACAUGGUGAGAAGAAGAGCAUGUCAAGCCUGUUGCAUGUAUACACACAAUUGAAAAUGCACAUGCUAGACUAUGAACAUAAAAGUUUGUUUCUAACAUAUAGCUGAUACUCAUGAAAGUAACUUUCUAAAAGCC